rnacentral:rRNA from 1 species
UUAAGCGACUAAGCGUACACGGUGGAUGCCCUGGCAGUCAGAGGCGAUGAAGGACGUGCUAAUCUGCGAAAAGCGUCGGUAAGGUGAUAUGAACCGUUAUAACCGGCGAUACCCGAAUGGGGAAACCCAGUGUGUUUCGACACACUAUCAUGUCAUGAAUACAUAGUGGCAUGAGGCGAACCGGGGGAACUGAAACAUCUAAGUACCCCGAGGAAAAGAAAUCAACCGAGAUUCCCCCAGUAGCGGCGAGCGAACGGGGAGGAGCCCAGAGCCUGAAUCAGUGUGUGUGUUAGUGGAAGCGUCUGGAAAGGCGUGCGAUACAGGGUGACAGCCCCGUACACAAAAAUGCACAUAUUGUGAGCUCGAUGAGUAGGGCGGGACACGUGGUAUCCUGUCUGAAUAUGGGGGGACCAUCCUCCAAGGCUAAAUACUCCUGACUGACCGAUAGUGAACCAGUACCGUGAGGGAAAGGCGAAAAGAACCCCGGCGAGGGGAGUGAAAAAGAACCUGAAACCGUGUACGUACAAGCAGUGGGAGCCUCUUAAUGGGGUGACUGCGUACCUUUUGUAUAAUGGGUCAGCGACUUAUAUUCUGUAGCAAGGUUAACCGAAUAGGGGAGCCGAAGGGAAACCGAGUCUUAACUGGGCGUUAAGUUGCAGGGUAUAGACCCGAAACCCGGUGAUCUAGCCAUGGGCAGGUUGAAGGUUGGGUAACACUAACUGGAGGACCGAACCGACUAAUGUUGAAAAAUUAGUGGAUGACUUGUGGCUGGGGGUGAAAGGCCAAUCAAACCGGGAGAUAGCUGGUUCUCCCCGAAAGCUAUUUAGGUAGCGCCUCGUGAAUUCAUCUCCGGGGGUAGAGCACUGUUUCGGCAAGGGGGUCAUCCCGACUUACCAACCCGAUGCAAACUGCGAAUACCGGAGAAUGUUAUCACGGGAGACACACGGCGGGUGCUAACGUCCGUCGUGAAGAGGGAAACAACCCAGACCGCCAGCUAAGGUCCCAAAGUCAUGGUUAAGUGGGAAACGAUGUGGGAAGGCCCAGACAGCCAGGAUGUUGGCUUAGAAGCAGCCAUCAUUUAAAGAAAGCGUAAUAGCUCACUGGUCGAGUCGGCCUGCGCGGAAGAUGUAUCGGGGCUAAACCAUGCACCGAAGCUGCGGCAGCGACACUAUGUGUUGUUGGGUAGGGGAGCGUUCUGUAAGCCUGUGAAGGUGGCCUGUGAGGGUUGCUGGAGGUAUCAGAAGUGCGAAUGCUGACAUAAGUAACGAUAAAGCGGGUGAAAAGCCCGCUCGCCGGAAGACCAAGGGUUCCUGUCCAACGUUAAUCGGGGCAGGGUGAGUCGACCCCUAAGGCGAGGCCGAAAGGCGUAGUCGAUGGGAAACAGGUUAAUAUUCCUGUACUUGGUGUUACUGCGAAGGGGGGACGGAGAAGGCUAUGUUAGCCGGGCGACGGUUGUCCCGGUUUAAGCAUGUAGGCUGGUUGUCCAGGCAAAUCCGGAUAAUCAAGGCUGAGGUGUGAUGACGAGGCACUACGGUGCUGAAGUAACAAAUGCCCUGCUUCCAGGAAAAGCCUCUAAGCAUCAGGUAACAUCAAAUCGUACCCCAAACCGACACAGGUGGUCAGGUAGAGAAUACCAAGGCGCUUGAGAGAACUCGGGUGAAGGAACUAGGCAAAAUGGUGCCGUAACUUCGGGAGAAGGCACGCUGAUAUGUAGGUGAAGCGACUUGCUCGUGGAGCUGAAAUCAGUCGAAGAUACCAGCUGGCUGCAACUGUUUAUUAAAAACACAGCACUGUGCAAACACGAAAGUGGACGUAUACGGUGUGACGCCUGCCCGGUGCUGGAAGGUUAAUUGAUGGGGUCAGCCGCAAGGCGAAGCUCUUGAUCGAAGCCCCAGUAAACGGCGGCCGUAACUAUAACGGUCCUAAGGUAGCGAAAUUCCUUGUCGGGUAAGUUCCGACCUGCACGAAUGGCGUAAUGAUGGCCAGGCUGUCUCCACCCGAGACUCAGUGAAAUUGAACUCGCUGUGAAGAUGCAGUGUACCCGCGGCAAGACGGAAAGACCCCGUGAACCUUUACUAUAGCUUGACACUGAACAUUGAGCCUUGAUGUGUAGGAUAGGUGGGAGGCUUUGAAGUGUGGACGCCAGUCUGCAUGGAGCCGACCUUGAAAUACCACCCUUUAAUGUUUGAUGUUCUAACGUUGGCCCGUAAUCCGGGUUGCGGACAGUGUCUGGUGGGUAGUUUGACUGGGGCGGUCUCCUCCUAAAGAGUAACGGAGGAGCACGAAGGUUAGCUAAUCCUGGUCGGACAUCAGGAGGUUAGUGCAAUGGCAUAAGCUAGCUUGACUGCGAGCGUGACGGCGCGAGCAGGUGCGAAAGCAGGUCAUAGUGAUCCGGUGGUUCUGAAUGGAAGGGCCAUCGCUCAACGGAUAAAAGGUACUCCGGGGAUAACAGGCUGAUACCGCCCAAGAGUUCAUAUCGACGGCGGUGUUUGGCACCUCGAUGUCGGCUCAUCACAUCCUGGGGCUGAAGUAGGUCCCAAGGGUAUGGCUGUUCGCCAUUUAAAGUGGUACGCGAGCUGGGUUUAGAACGUCGUGAGACAGUUCGGUCCCUAUCUGCCGUGGGCGCUGGAGAACUGAGGGGGGCUGCUCCUAGUACGAGAGGACCGGAGUGGACGCAUCACUGGUGUUCGGGUUGUCAUGCCAAUGGCACUGCCCGGUAGCUAAAUGCGGAAGAGAUAAGUGCUGAAAGCAUCUAAGCACGAAACUUGCCCCGAGAUGAGUUCUCCCUGACUCCUUGAGAGUCCUGAAGGAACGUUGAAGACGACGACGUUGAUAGGCCGGGUGUGUAAGCGCAGCGAUGCGUUGAGCUAACCGGUACUAAUGAACCGUGAGGCUUAACCUU